AGUGAACGCUGGCGGUAGGCCUAACACAUGCAAGUCGAACGGCAGCACAGGAGAGCUUGCUCUCCGGGUGGCGAGUGGCGGACGGGUGAGGAAUACAUCGGAAUCUACCUUUUCGUGGGGGAUAACGUAGGGAAACUUACGCUAAUACCGCAUAAGACCUUCGGGUGAAAGCCGGGGACCUUCGGGCCUGGCGCGGAUAG
rnacentral:rRNA from 1 species